UGGUGUGGCUCAAUGGUAGAGCAGCUGACUUGUAAUCAGCCGGUUGUUGGUUCGAUUCCGACCACC
rnacentral:tRNA from 2 species